UGACAGAAGAGAGUGAGCACU
rnacentral:miRNA from 1 species